rnacentral:misc_RNA from 1 species
GAUGAAGAACGCAUCAAAAUGCGAUAAGUAAUGUGAAUUGCAGAAUUCAGUGAAUCAUCGAAUCUUUGAACGCACAUUGCGCCCGCCAGUAUUCUGGCGGACAUGCCUGUUCGAGCGUCAUUUCAACCCUCAAGCACAGCUUGGUGUUGGGACUCGCGUUAAUUCGCGUUCCUCAAAUUGAUUGGCGGUCACGUCGAGCUUCCAUAGCGUAGUAGUAAAACCCUCGUUACUGGUAAUCGUCGCGGCCACGCCGUUAAACCCCAACUUCUGAAUGUUGACCUCGGAUCAGGUAGGAAUACCCGCUGAACUUAAGCAUAUCAAUAAGCGGAGGA